rnacentral:misc_RNA from 1 species
CGCACAUUGCGCCCACCAGUACUCUGGUGGGCAUGCCUGUCCGAGCGUCAUUUCGACCCUCGAGCCUCCCUUUGCGGUGGCUCGGUGCUGGGACACUAUAGCGCAUUCUGUGCUGUAGGCCCCGAAAUGCAGUGGCGGCCUUGUCGAGACCCCGAGCGCAGUAAACCGUGCAUAGCAUAGCGCCUCGUUCUGGGUGUCCGGCAGGAGCUUCAGCCGUUAAACCCCUAAUUUUUAGAAGGUUGACCUCGGAUCAGGUAGGAAUACCCGCUGAACUUAA